UCUCUGAUCUGUCUUGUUCUGCAGGUCUGGUUCUGGCUCAGGAUCAGAACUAUGAGGAUUAUUCAGAGAUCUUUGGUAACGGCAACAGUUAUGAUCCGUUCUACUAUCCAGCUGUUUCUCAGCAGGUUUUACAAGCUCAGACCUCAGAACCAGGACAGUCCGCAGUGGAUUUCCAGACGGAGCCGACCGAACCUGGACCGCUGG